rnacentral:rRNA from 1 species
CUGGUGCUAAUACCGGAUACACUUCUUUACCGCGGGGUAAAGGAGGAAAGGUGGCCUCUUCAUGAAAGCUACCGUAAAGGGAUGAGCCUGCGUACCAUUAGCUAGUAGGCGGGGUAACGGCCCACCUAGGCAACGAUGGUUAGCGGGUCUGAGAGGAUGAUCCGCCACACUGGAACUGGAACACGGACCAGACUCCUACGGGAGGCAGCAGUGAGGAAUAUUGCGCAAUGGGGGAAACCCUGACGCAGCGACGCCGCGUGAGUGAGGAAGGUUUUCGGAUCGUAAAGCUCUGUCAGAAGGGAAGAAGUGUUAUAUGUUUAAUACGCAUAUAAUUUGACGGUACCUUCAGAGGAAGCACCGGCUAGCUCCGUGCCAGCAGCCACGGUAAUACGGAGGGUGCAAGCGUUGUUCGGAAUUACUGGGCGUAAAGGGCGCGUAGGCGGCUGGAUAAGUCAGAUGUGAAAGUCCAUGGCUCAACUGUGGAAGUGCAUUUGAAACUGUCCGGCUUGAGUAUCGGAGGGGAGUGUGGAAUUCCCGGUGUAGAGGUGAAAUUCGUAGAGAUCGGGAGGAACACCGGUGGCGAAGGCGACACUCUGGACGAAUACUGACGCUGAGGCGCGAAAGCGUGGGGAGCAAACAGGAUUAGAUACCCUGGUAGUCCACGCCGUACACGAUGUGAACUAGGGAUAGGGGGUGUUGAUCCCUCCUGUCCCGCAGCUAACGCAUUAAGUUCACCGCCUGGGGAGUACGGUCGCAAGAUUAAAACUCAAAGGAAUUGACGGGGGCCUGCACAAGCGGUGGAGUAUGUGGUUUAAUUCGACGCAACGCGAAGGACCUUACCUGGGCUUGACAUCCCGAGAAUCUCCUGGAAACAGGAGAGUGCGUCAUUAGAUGAACUUGGUGACAGGUGCUGCAUGGCUGUCGUCAGCUCGUGUCGUGAGAUGUUGGGUUAAGCCCCGCAACGAGCGCAACCCCUGCCUUUAGUUGCCAGCAGUUCGGCUGGGCACUCUAGAGGGACUGCCGGUGUCAAACCGGAGGAAGGUGGGGAUGACGUCAAGUCCUCAUGGCCUUUAUGCCCAGGGCUACACACGUACUACAAUGGUCGGUACAAAGGGCAGCGACUUAGCGAUGAGAAGCUAAUCCCAUAAAACCGGUCUCAGUCCGGAUUGGAGUCUGCAACUCGACUCCAUGAAGUUGGAAUCGCUAGUAAUCGUGGAUCAGCAUGCCACGGUGAAUACG